AUUGAACGCUGGCGGAAUGCUUUACACAUGCAAGUCGAACGGUAGAGGGGGCAACCCCUCGAGAGUGGCGAACGGGUGAGUAAUAUAUCGGAACGUGCCCAGUCGUGUGGGAUAACGUAGCGAAAGUUACGCUAAUACCGCAUACGAUCUAAGGAUGAAAGCGGGGGAUCGCAAGACCUCGCGCGAUUGGAGCGGCGGAUAUCAGAUUAGGUAGUUGGUGGGGUAAAGGCUCACCAAGCCAACGAUCUGUAGCUGGUCUGAGAGGACGACCAGCCACACUGGAACUGAGACACGGUCCAGACUCCUACGGGAGGCAGCAGUGGGGAAUUUUGGACAAUGGACGCAAGUCUGAUCCAGCCAUUCCGCGUGCAGGAUGAAGGCCCUCGGGUUGUAAACUGCUUUUGUACGGAACGAAAAGGUCUCUCUUAAUACGGGGGACUCAUGACGGUACCGUAAGAAUAAGCACCGGCUAACUACGUGCCAGCAGCCGCCGUAA
rnacentral:rRNA from 1 species